rnacentral:rRNA from 1 species
GACGAACGCUGGCGGCGUGCCUAAUACAUGCAAGUAGAACGCUGAAGAGAGGAGCUUGCUCUUCUUGGCUGAGUUGCGAACGGGUGAGUAACGCGUAGGUAACCUGCCUUGUAGCGGGGGAUAACUAUUGGAAACGAUAGCUAAUACCGCAUAACAAUGGAUGACACAUGUCAUUUAUUUGAAAGGGGCAAUUGUUCCACUACAAGAUGGACCUGCGUUGUAUUAGCUAGUAGGUGAGGUAAUGGCUCACCUAGGCGACGAUACAUAGCCGACCUGAGAGGGUGAUCGGCCACACUGGGACUGAGACACGGCCCAGACUCCUACGGGAGGCAGCAGUAGGGAAUCUUCGGCAAUGGGGGCAACCCUGACCGAGCAACGCCGCGUGAGUGAAGAAGGUUUUCGGAUCGUAAAGCUCUGUUGUAAGUCAAGAACGGGUGUGAGAGUGGAAAGUUCACACUGUGACGGUAGCUUACCAGAAAGGGACGGCUAACUACGUG